CCUCUGCCAAGCCAAGCAGCCAGCUCCUAGGACUCCCCUCCCUCCACCUGAGGCUCCUUGUCCUCCCUUCCUCAGGAGUCUCCAGCCUCCCGGGACUUCCCCUCCCCGCUGCCCACUCCAGCAGAGGCUGCCAACUGCCUGGGAGAGAGAAGUGGGCUUCCUGGGGCCACCUCCCCAACUUUGGAGUGUUUGGAAGGUGAUGGAGCGACCACUAGGAGGCAGUGUGGACAGGUCUCUGUAGGACUGCUCAGGCAGACACCUUUGCAGGGACCUCCCAGGUCGGGAGCCCUCCACACUUUUCCCAUGGGAGCUUCUCCCUCCACCCCGAGUCACUACUAUCUGCUUUCCUAGAAGGCACUUCUUUACUUCUAAUUCUUCUCCACUGCCCAGAAUAAUGCUUCCAGUGAAAUGAGUCGGCCACAUGAGGUCACAAAGCCCCUACUCUGUUCAGCACCUGGGCUCCUGGUUUGUUAAGGCAAACCCCCAUCUCUGGCUUCUCCUGGAACCUCACCUGGGAAAGAAAGAGGCAGCCCCGGAGCUGGAAGCUGCUUCAGGGCUCACCCGGAACAGCAGACUCAACCUGGACCCAUCCAGGCAUCUCCUGGGAGUUUCACCCAAUUGCUUCUGCCUGGCACCAGCUCAGAGGUUCUGACAGAAUUGGCCUGGGGUGAGACCUGGCAUCCAUGGGAUUUUUACAAGCUUCCAGGUGAUUCUACAGGGAAGCCAAGCCUUCCAGGCCCCGGUGGGAUGAGACUUCCCUGCCCCCACGGUUGAGAGGAGCCAUGGGCUUAUUCUAGCCAAUGAAUGGUGGAUGGACGUGACUCGUGUCUCUUCCAGGCUGGAGCAUUUAAUUGUCCAGAUGCUGGGUUUUUGCCUUCAAGUUGGCUUUCUUCAUGGUGGCAAAAUGGAUCCAGCAAUUCUGUCAGAGGUUUUCGAAGCAGAGUGACUCCAUCUUGAUUAAAGGCUGUGUAAAAUGAGGAUGAGACUUGCUGGACUGCAUUCCAGGAGGGUAGGCAUUCUUAGUCACAGGGUGAGACAGGAGGCCAGCAGGAUUGAUAUCACAAGACACAGGUCACAAAGACCCUGCUGAUAAAACAAGAUGCAAUAAAGAAGCCAGCCAAAACCCACCAAAACCAAGAUGGUGAUUAAUGUGACCUCUGGUCUUCCUCACUGCUCAUUAUAUGGUAAUUGUAAUGCAUUAGUGUGGUAAAAGACACUUCUACUAACUCCAUGACAGCUUACAAAUGCCAUGGCAAUGUCCAGAAGUUACCCUAUAUGGUCUAAAAGGAGAACCUAUAUAGUCUAAAAGAACUGAGGGUUCUGAGAAAUCCCUGACCCUUUCCUGGAAAAUUUAUGAAUAAUCCACUCCUUGUUUAGCAUACAAUCAAGAAAUAACCAUAGUGUACUCAGUCAAGCAGUCCCUGCUGCUGCUCUGCCUAUGGAGUAGCCAUUCUUUUGUUCUUUACUUUCUUAAUAAACUUGCUUUCAUUUUACUUUAUGGACUUGCCCUCAAUUCUUUCUUGUGCAAGAUUCAAGAACCCUCCCUUGGGGUCUGGAUCAGGAUCCCAUUCCCGUAACAAUUUCAGGCUCAGAUCGGCUUUUAACACCAUCCAGAGCAAGAGAAAGCUUUUUUGUUCCAGAAUUCCCCAUUAAAGUUCUCCUGGUCACUCUUAUUGGGUUGUUUCGCUUAGGGUCAGGUGUCCAUCCUGGUCCCAAGCAAUGAGGCCAGGAGAUGGGAUGCAACGACUGGAUCAAUCUAGGCCUCUUAUUCCCACUUUUUAAAACACUUAUUAUUAUUAUUUUUUAAAAAUUAUUUUUCAUUCAGCUUUUUCAUUUGAAACUUAUUCCAAUUCUUGAACUGGGGGUAGUUUCAACUUUCCUAGAGCUGUAUGGGUCCUCAAAUGAAAAUUCGGGGCAGCUGGAUUAGAGAAGGGGGAAAUGCAUGCUGCAGGGGCAACCAACAAGGGGAGAUUGUGCCAAUUCACUCUUCCUAUCCUCAGAUUCACCUAAGUUCUGACCAUUCAGCCCCAUUUGAAUGCAUUCUGUAUUCCUAUGACUGUGGAUUACAUUUUUGUCUACCUUUGUGUCUUCUGUUUUGUCCUGCCCUAUAAGCAUCUCAAACAUAUGCAUAAAGCCUAUAUAAACUUUAUAAAUAAACUAACACUUCUGUUUUCAACCUGUAGGAUGAUGACAAUGAUGAUGACGACAAUGAUGAUGGUAAUGAUGUGGAAAAUGUGAAAAGAGAAAGAAAUACUUGGAAAUAUAUCUCACCCUCCAUAAACAAAGCUCGGGGUUUAAUUCUGACCUGUAUGAGUUCAUGGGGUGAACUGCAGACCGCUGUCUGUGGACAGGAAAACGAUAUUUCAUCUCUAGCCCCAGGGACAUCUCCAAAAGCUGAGCUAGAUGAACUUUAUAUAAAUUGGUACAAAAUAUAAUUUUCUCUUUGCCUGCUGAAAGCCAUUUCUAGAAAUUCUGUUAAUCAGAAUCUCCCUAAGUUAAUCAGUCAUCUAGACAGAUCUUAUUUCUUUUUUAGACAAAGAAAAGUAUAUAAGUAACAGGUAUUGGUAAACCACUUGAGUGAAGCAUAUGAUAUCUAAUGUAAGGAAAUCUAAAAGUGUCCACAGGCAAAAUCUCAUGGAUUCAAUUGAUAGCACAGGUCAUCAACUGACAUGCAGACGGAAUUCUCUUGUGGAACAAGACAAUACAGCCAUUGCUUAGAGACUAAUUGUCAAGGAAUUAGUCAUUUCCUGUUUCAGAAUAGCAUCAUCACCACCACCAUUAAUGCCAACAUCAACCACCACCACCUACGCCACCACCGUUAGCAUCAUAACCACCACCAAUAACAUCACCAACAGCAACACUGCCAUCAACAUAAACCAUCACCACCACCAAAACCAUUAGCAUCACCUAGAACCACCAGUCACCACCAUCACCACUUACCACAACAAGGCUUAUAUUUACAUACUUAUUUUACUUUUCGAAAUACAUUCACAUGCAUGGUUUCAUUAGAUCUUAUCUACUUGGUAAGGUUGGCAGAUCUGACAUCAUUAGCCUCAUUUUAUCUGUAUGGAAACUAAGUUCUAGAGAAGCGAAGUGAUGUGUGAAAGGACACCAGAGUGAUUGAUAAUCAAAUCCAGACUAGAGUUUGGUUCUUCUGACUCCAAAAUUAAUACAUUUUUCUUAAAAGAAAAAAAUUUUUUUUGAGACAGGGUCUCACUCUGUCACCCAAGCUUGA
rnacentral:lncRNA from 1 species